rnacentral:rRNA from 1 species
UGGGCAACCUGCCCUCAGCUCUGGGAUAACCCCGGGAAACCGGGGCUAAUACCGGAUACGACCUCCGCGGGCAUCUGCGGAGGUGGAAAGGUUUUUCCGGCUGAGGAUGGGCCCGCGGCCUAUCAGCUAGUUGGUGGGGUGAUGGCCCACCAAGGCGACGACGGGUAGCCGGCCUGAGAGGGCGACCGGCCACACUGGGACUGAGACACGGCCCAGACUCCUACGGGAGGCA